rnacentral:rRNA from 1 species
CCAUAUAAGGACAUUGUAAUCUGUUAAUGUUUAAAUGCGUAUUAUAAGAUCUUUUACAAUAGUUUAUUCAUUAUUUAAUUUAUUUUAAAUAUAUGAUUAAAUGUAAAAGUUUCGAAUAUGCCAUUGACAGAUUUUAUAUAUAUUGUACUUAAAUCUUUUUUGAUUUUAUAAUAAUAUAAUUAUCGUAGAUUUUUAUAUUUAUUAUAUGUACAUAUAUGAUUAACAAUGCGAAAGAUUCAGGAUACCUUCGGG